GCAAUCUUGGCCGAGCGGUUUAAGGCGCCAGACUUAAGUUCUGGUCACGAAAGUGGCGUGGGUUCGAACCCCACAGGUUGCA
rnacentral:tRNA from 1 species